AUUAUAGCAUUCAAAAAAAAGGGGAGUGUAGGGAAGGUAAUAGAAAUAAAAAAGAAGAGGAUAUUAUAUCCAGAUUAAGGUUUGGGCAUACGGGGCUAAAUAGUACUCUGAAAAUAAUUAAUAAACAUAGUACAGGUUAGUGUAGUUAUUGUGGAGAGUCGGAAACAGUGCAGCAUAUUUUUCUACAAUGUAAKAAAUAUAGUCGGGAAAGAGAUGUAUUAAUUAGAGAGUUAAAUAGAAAUAAAAAUAAUUUAGAUAUUAAACAUUUGCUGCAAAGAUCGUCUGGGGAUGUAGCAUUUGACAGCAUUUUUAGUUUUAAAGAUAGGACCUCUUUUUAUAGCGAUAGGACCUCUAAUCGAUACUCCCGUCCGGAAGGUGGCGGUAAUGCACCUGUACGUUGUUUGCCAACCCGCCAUAARACAAAAAGAAUGAUGAUAAUAAUAAGAACGUCUACUUAAACAACUCACACAACCUUAAAAUGCAAACCCUGACUAUGCCACCUAGAAAUKAUGCCCCACCGGUCAUAUUGCAAGUCGAAACGUGUAAUGUCCAGGAUCGUCGAUCAAAUGGAAUAUAGAUGCUGACGCCAUUUAGCAUAGUUGUGGUGGACAGACGCUGAAUGCUGCUUCUCCAUGUUUGGUUCUGGUUCUGGUUGUGGUCUGUUCUGCAUUCCCAGAACCUGAGAUGGCAGAAUCUCCUUCUGUGUGCAGACAGACUGGGGGACAGGUAGAACCAGACCAGCAGACCUGCACACAGGACAUCAACGCCGUCCUGAGGGAGAUGAGCGCCUGGUUGGCUGGACUCAAGGUGGAGGUUCAGCACCUGCAGAGAGAUAAUGAAGUGAAGACGAAAGAGCUGGAAUCACUGAGCCAACGKUACCAAGGUACUGACUGAUACAAGACGAUGUACAGAGGUUUAGYAUUAAGCUUACUUUGGAUAUAUCACAAGUAUUAAC